rnacentral:rRNA from 2 species
GCGUGGGGGGCUGCCUAUAAUGCAGUCGACGAGCUUCCGUUGAAUGACGUGCUUGCACUGAUUUCAACAAUGAAGCGAGUGGCGAACUGGUGAGUAACACGUGGGAAAUCUGCCCAGAAGCAGGGGAUAACACUUGGAAACAGGUGCUAAUACCGUAUAACAACAAAAUCCGCAUGGAUUUUGUUUGAAAGGUGGCUUCGGCUAUCACUUCUGGAUGAUCCCGCGGCGUAUUAGUUAGUUGGUGAGGUAAAGGCCCACCAAGACGAUGAUACGUAGCCGACCUGAGAGGGUAAUCGGCCACAUUGGGACUGAGACACGGCCCAAACUCCUACGGGAGGCAGCAGUAGGGAAUCUUCCACAAUGGACGAAAGUCUGAUGGAGCAAUGCCGCGUGAGUGAAGAAGGGUUUCGGCUCGUAAAACUCUGUUGUUAAAGAAGAACACCUUUGAGAGUAACUGUUCAAGGGUUGACGGUAUUUAACCAGAAAGCCACGGCUAACUACGUGCCAGCAGCCGCGGUAAUACGUAGGUGGCAAGCGUUGUCCGGAUUUAUUGGGCGUAAAGCGAGCGCAGGCGGUUUUUUAAGUCUGAUGUGAAAGCCUUCGGCUUAACCGGAGAAGUGCAUCGGAAACUGGGAGACUUGAGUGCAGAAGAGGACAGUGGAACUCCAUGUGUAGCGGUGGAAUGCGUAGAUAUAUGGAAGAACACCAGUGGCGAAGGCGGCUGUCUAGUCUGUAACUGACGCUGAGGCUCGAAAGCAUGGGUAGCGAACAGGAUUAGAUACCCUGGUAGUCCAUGCCGUAAACGAUGAGUGCUAAGUGUUGGAGGGUUUCCGCCCUUCAGUGCUGCAGCUAACGCAUUAAGCACUCCGCCUGGGGAGUACGACCGCAAGGUUGAAACUCAAAGGAAUUGACGGGGGCCCGCACAAGCGGUGGAGCAUGUGGUUUAAUUCGAAGCUACGCGAAGAACCUUACCAGGUCUUGACAUCUUCUGCCAAUCUUAGAGAUAAGACGUUCCCUUUCGGGGACAGAAUGACAGGUGGUGCAUGGGUUGUCGUCAGCUCGUGUCGUGAGAUGUUGGGUUAAGUCCCGCAACGAGCGCAACCCUUAUUAUCAGUUGCCAGCAUUCAGUUUGGGCACCUCUGGUGAGACUGCGGUGACAAACCGGAGAAGGGUGGGGAUGACGUCAAUCA